rnacentral:sRNA from 1 species
CCUCCGUGACCUGCUGCGGGCAGAUGUAGUGGACAUGCGCAUCGAUCGCACCGGCGGUGACAAUGAGCUUCUCCCCGCGAUGACCUCGGUCGCGCAGCCGAUGACGAGGUCAGGGUGGACCGAAGCCAUCACGUCGGGGUUGCCCGCUUUGCCUAUGCCGGCGAUCACGCCGUCCUUCACGCCGAUGUCUGCCUGUGGGAGCGUUCAGCGGGUGCGGGGGACCUCAGAGGAGAUCCUGCGUACCUUGUAUAUGCCAGACCAGUCGACGAUGAGCGCGUUCGUGAUGACGAGAUCGAGUGUUCCGGAUGCAGAGCGAUCGGUGGCUUGCCCCAUGCCCUCCCGAAU